AUCUGAGCAGCCUCAGCCCUGCAGGCUGGAUUCACUUUCUGCAGACUCAGCGGCCCCAGGGUGGAGAGGCAGUGAGUCGGGGAUACGAUGGCGGAAGGGGAGGCGACCUCCCUCUGGGAUUCGAAUCCAGCCCUCCCACCUGGCAGUCAUGGGACCUCCCUAAGCGGUUUAACUGCCAAGUCCCAGAUCCCAUCUGUGAAGCCAGCCCUCCGACCAUGGCCUCUCGCAGGACCCCUGGGAAUCACCCUCAUCUGUCACUGUUUCCCCACCGGGACCCACCACCGAGGCUACCAGGGAAAAGCCACAGGAUUUGUUUGCAUCUGGGGAGGCAGCUCCACCUUCCUGGCAUGAAUGGUCACUAAUGAUUGGACUUUGUCAGCCUGCAAGGCAGGAAGGAGAUUUACUCUCCACAGACUGGACAGUCCUUAGCUUUGUGCUUGCCACAUAAAUGGCAUUUAAUACAUGCUCCCUGGACUCAGCACCACUCCUGAAGGCCUGUAUUGUGGUCAGCAGUUAUCAUUUCUUCCACAAAUGAGCUCAUUCUUCUCCUCUCAGGAUCAACCCUUUCGCCUUCACUGAGGCAUCAGACACCAGCAUUCGGAGGGACACCCACUCCAUCCUCUUCUCUCAGCUGCCUGUGGAAAUUCCCAUCUCAAACACGUGACUCCCCACAGAGUGGCACUCACUGAUCACGGAUCUUAACUUUAAAAGGUGAAAAAUAAGUCAAGGCUUAAGGUAAAGUAACGGGAGGUGUGGAUGUCUGAGCAAUGCGGUGAACCGAGUCACGGGGCCGCGGAGAUGUUCGCAGCUGGGACUUUCCAGGCCUCCCGAACGCAGAGCGCCCGAAGCCAUCAGUGGCCACAGAGUGUGUUUCAGGUGUGAUUUGGGGUCAUUUAUGCCAAUUUUAUUCUUCUUUUAUUUCCAUCUGGUUUUCUUUCUAUAAAUUGCAUACGUCAUGCAUGCUACGUUUUAUAGUCAUCCGUGUGACAUCCGUCUCGCACAGUGAGUUAAGGAGGACGUUCCGCUACAGCUGUACUUUUUACUCAGCAAAAUAAAAAAAGAAUAAAGAUGAGCUUGAAACUCC